AACGAACGCUGGCGGCAGGCCUAACACAUGCAAGUCGAGCGGAUCCUUCGGGAUUAGCGGCGGACGGGUGAGUAACGCGUGGGAAUAUGCCCUUCUCUACGGAAUAGCCUCGGGAAACUGGGAGUAAUACCGUAUACGCCCUACGGGGGAAAGAUUUAUCGGAGAAGGAUUAGCCCGCGUUGGAUUAGGUAGUUGGUGGGGUAAUGGCCUACCAAGCCUACGAUCCAUAGCUGGUUUGAGGGGAUGAUCAGCCACACUGGGACUGAGACACGGCCCAGGCUGGUACGGGCGGCAGCAGUGGGGAAGCUUAGACAAGGGGGGAAACCCUGAUCUAGCCAUGCCGCGUGAUUGAUGAAGGCCUUAGGGUUGUAAAGCUCUUUCAGCUGGGAAGAUAAUGACGGUACCAGCAGAAGAAGCCCCGGCUAACUCCGUGCCAGCCGCCGCGGUAAAAC
rnacentral:rRNA from 1 species